UUUUUAAUGUGAGAGUGAUACGUAGGAUGGUUUAAGAGUUGAUGAUGUCAGCAAUGUUUUGUUUUAGUGUUAGUUAAUAGAAUUUGAGUAUUGAUGAUUUUUUUUGGAAGUAGAUAUUCAAUUUGGUAAACACAAAAAAAAAAAAAAAAAAAAAAAAAAAAAAAAAAAAAAAAAGGGGUAAUUUGCCAAUUCAGCUGGCCCUGAUUAAUCCUUAAUCAAGAUGUGUGGCCCAUCCAAAGUCAAAUACCAUGGGAUGGCUUUAGCUAAAUUAAGCCAAUUAUCACGAUUCACGAAUGUGUGAUGGGCCCACCUCGAAUUAGGAAAAAGAAAACUUCCUUCCAUGUGGGCCACGUGUCUGAUUACGAUGAAAGUCCAGGUUCAAGGAUAUUCUUAAUCCUUGUUUAAAUUUAAUUGGUAUACACUAGACCCUAGUGUAGGUAGGGAUACCUACACCCCCCUCUAAACGAUGCGUUUAUCAUGUUACCCACAUCCCAUAACCCACUAACCUACUGUAACUACCCACCAUUCUCUCUAAAACCUUCUUCUUCAUUUCUCUAGACUUUCUCUCUCAUCAAAACUAGAAAAUAUGAACCAAAAUUGCUUCAAAAUACUACAAAAUUGCUUCAAAAUACUACGAAAUUGCUUCAAAAUAUUGCUAAAUUCCUUCAAAUGUCUACAUUUGCGAAGAAAUUCAACAAUCGCAACAACAUUCACAGAAAGAAACCGAAAAAUAUAUUUCGAAUUAGAGAGAUAAAGAGAAUGAUGAUUCAGAGAAGAAUCAUGUUCGUUGAACAUAACAAGGCAUAGUCUGAAGAAACGUGAACCAAAUUAGGAAGCAAGGAUGCGGAACUGAUGCUAUUUGAAGAAAAACACUAAAUAUAGGUUAAAUCGAAGAUAAGCAAGGAAGUUUGCAAAUGAAUAGUACAUGUUAUAUGUUCAUUUAUGAAAGUGUAUAUGUUCAUUAAUGAAUGUGUAUAUGAUCAUAUCUUAAACUUCCUCCAUUUCUUUUUACUUGCAACACAGCCUUGUGGCACGUGUUUUGAGGUCGGGUUUAUAUAAUGUAAACGGAUAAAUUAUUCAUUAUAAUUUUUACAAAUGAUACUUAACCCUAUUCUAA